GCAGAAUAUUUUAUAUGAAAAAACACCAGCCAAGAAGGAGGAAGCCUUUUCAGAUGCAUAAAGAAGGGCUGUGGUUGCAAGAGGUGGACAAGAAAUACACACUGCAGCAGACGGAAUAAGCAAGRACCAAAGAGCUGCAGGCUGCAAUUGCAUGGGAAAGCAUUGCUGGAGGUCACGAGGUUUGCAGCUCUUCUGUAGGAGCCAUCCCUCUCACCGCGAUCCCGAGCCCCUUCUGGGAAAACAGACAAUUUUGCCACGCAAAGUCCACUUGAACUAAUUCUGCACAGCACCAAAGCAUGCCUGGCAAUCCUUAUUUCAUGAGCUCCCUGUCUACUCUCUGAUGGGAACCAUUGCAUCGGAUUGGUCACUUUUUGUGCUAGCUGCUCUCCUGCUGAAAGAGCUUCAAAUCCACUUGGAGAUCAUCCCUGGGCUUGCUCCAGUGUGCAGGAGAUCUGCAGGAAGAAGUCUGAGUGUCCCAAACGCCCCAGGUGCAGGGAGCACAUCCUACUGCUUCCCCUCGGGCAGCCUCUGCAACGUCACCGAGGCAUCUACUCCACUGUCCCGUGCCUGCGACAUCCUAAAUGGGCAGUGAUGACCUGAACGAGCAUCUUGGGGCUGUGCAUGGUCUUCCAAGCUGGGCCAGCUUUCUCUCAAAAUCUCCAAAGUAUUCCCUUUGAAAAAUCCUUAGCGAAGAGGAUGCACUCCUUAUGCACACAGCAGAGCCAUGCAAACAGGUAGCAA
rnacentral:lncRNA from 1 species